rnacentral:rRNA from 1 species
GACGAACGCUGGCGGCAGGCCUAACACAUGCAAGUCGAGCGGAUCCUUCGGGAUUAGCGGCGGACGGGUGAGUAACGCGUGGGAAUAUGCCCUUCUCUACGGAAUAGCCUCGGGAAACUGGGAGUAAUACCGUAUACGCCCUACGGGGGAAAGAUUUAUCGGAGAAGGAUUAGCCCGCGUUGGAUUAGGUAGUUGGUGGGGUAAUGGCCUACCAAGCCUACGAUCCAUAGCUGGGUUGAGAGGAUGAUCAGCCACACUGGGACUGAGACACGGCCCAGACUCCUACGGGAGGCAGCAGUGGGGAAUCUUAGACAAUGGGGGAAACCCUGAUCUAGCCAUGCCGCGUGAGUGAUGAAGGCCUUAGGGUUGUAAAGCUCUUUCAGCUGGGAAGAUAAUGACGGUACCAGCAGAAGAAGCCCCGGCUAACUCCGUGCCAGCCGCCGCCGUAAAAC